rnacentral:rRNA from 1 species
ACGGAAGGCAGCAGUGGGGAAUAUUGCACAAUGGGCGAAAGCCUGAUGCAGCGACGCCGCGUGAGUGAAGAAGUAUUUCGGUAUGUAAAGCUCUAUCAGCAGGGAAGAAAAAUGACGGUACCUGACUAAGAAGCACCGGCUAAAUACGUGCCAGCAGCCGCGGUAAUACGUAUGGUGCAAGCGUUAUCCGGAUUUACUGGGUGUAAAGGGAGCGCAGGCGGUACGGCAAGUCUGAUGUGAAAGCCCGGGGCUCAACCCCGGUACUGCAUUGGAAACUGUCGAACUAGAGUGUCAGAGGGGUAAGCGGAAUUCCUAGUGUAGCGGUGAAAUGCGUAGAUAUUAGGAGGAACACCAGUGGCGAAGGCGGCUUACUGGACGAUAACUGACGCUGAGGCUCGAAAGCGUGGGGAGCAAACAGGAUUAGAUACCCUGGUA